rnacentral:lncRNA from 1 species
CUCCUGGUUCAAAAGAUUAGGCAACAUUUAUUAGCUUAAUUUACAGUACAUUGGGUCCUUCACUCAUAGACUUACCACAAAGUGAUAACAGUAUGGUGUGGUUAAGACCUAAGGGUGGUACAGAAGUUCAUCAUUUGCUGUUGGGCAAAACAGGAAAGGAUGCCUAUCUCUUUUUCGAAGGCGACUCCUCCCUGGACACAUCAGCUGGCUGUCCCUCAGGCCUCACUUCAAAAUGCAGUCGACUUCUGGACUGAAUACAAGCCAACGUCAGUCCCUGACUGAGGUAUUCCAGUGAUGAAAAUAAGAUAGCUCAACCAGGUAUGGAAUACUGGCA